UACGUAGGGGGCAAGCGUUGUCCGGAUUUAUUGGGCGUAAAGAGCUCGUAGGUGGUUCGGUAAGUCGGAUGUGAAAUCUCCAGGCUCAACCUGGAGGGGUCAUUCGAUACUGCCGUGACUAGAGGUCGGUAGGGGAGUGUGGAAUUCCUGGUGGAGCGGUGAAAUGCGCAGAUAUUAGGAAGAACACCGGUGGCGAAGGCGGCUCUCUGGACAGUUCCUGACACUGAGGCACGAAGGCUAGGGGAGCAAACGGG
rnacentral:rRNA from 1 species